UUCGGAGGUACUCGAGUGGYGAACGGGUGAGUAACACGUGGGCAAUCUGCCCUGCACUUCGGGAUAAGCCUGGGAAACUGGGUCUAAUACCGGAUAGGACCUCAAGACGCAUGUCUUCUGGUGGAAAGCUUUUGCGGUGUGGGAUGGGCCCGCGGCCUAUCAGCUUGUUGGUGGGGUGACGGCCUACCAAGGCGACGACGGGUAGCCGGCCUGAGAGGGUGUCCGGCCACACUGGGACUGAGAUACGGCCCAGACUCCUACGGGAGGCAGCAGUGGGGAAUAUUGCACAAUGGGCGCAAGCCUGAUGCAGCGACGCCGCGUGGGGGAUGACGGCCUUCGGGUUGUAAACCUCUUUCACCAUCGACGAAGGUCCGGGUUUUCUCGGAUUGACGGUAGGUGGAGAAGAAGCACCGGCCAACUACGUGCCAGCAGCCGCGGUAAUACGUAGGGUGCGAGCGUUGUCCGGAAUUACUGGGCGUAAAGAGCUCGUAGGUGGUUUGUCGCGUUGUUCGUGAAAUCUCACGGCUUAACUGUGAGCGUGCGGGCGAUACGGGCAGACUAGAGUACUGCAGGGGAGACUGGAAUUCCUGGUGUAGCGGUGGAAUGCGCAGAUAUCAGGAGGAACACCGGUGGCGAAGGCGGGUCUCUGGGCAGUAACUGACGCUGAGGAGCGAAAGCGUGGGGAGCGAACAGGAUUAGAUACCCUGGUAGUCCACGCCGUAAACGGUGGGUACUAGGUGUGGGUUUCCUUCCUUGGGAUCCGUGCCGUAGCUAACGCAUUAAGUACCCCGCCUGGGGAGUACGGCCGCAAGGCUAAAACUCAAAGGAAUUGACGGGGGCCCGCACAAGCGGCGGAGCAUGUGGAUUAAUUCGAUGCAACGCGAAGAACCUUACCUGGGUUUGACAUGCACAGGACGCGUCUAGAGAUAGGCGUUCCCUUGUGGCCUGUGUGCAGGUGGUGCAUGGCUGUCGUCAGCUCGUGUCGUGAGAUGUUGGGUUAAGUCCCGCAACGAGCGCAACCCUUGUCUCAUGUUGCCAGCGGGUAAUGCCGGGGACUCGUGAGAGACUGCCGGGGUCAACUCGGAGGAAGGUGGGGAUGACGUCAAGUCAUCAUGCCCCUUAUGUCCAGGGCUUCACACAUGCUACAAUGGCCGGUACAAAGGGCUGCGAUGCCGUAAGGUUAAGCGAAUCCUUUUAAAGCCGGUCUCAGUUCGGAUUGGGGUCUGCAACUCGACCCCAUGAAGUCGGAGUCGCUAGUAAUCGCAGAUCAGCAACGCUGCGGUGAAUACGUUCCCGGGCCUUGUACACACCGCCCGUCACGUCAUGAAAGUCGGUAACACCCGAAGCCAGUGG
rnacentral:rRNA from 1 species